GCUCUGCUUUAGUUCAAUGUACUUUACAAGAUAUUUCUCUUAGGAGGAAAAUAUUUCAUGUCAAAAAUGCAAAGAGAGACUAAAUUCAGGACAAUGUGCAAAAGAACAUUUUUAACGCAAUGAGGAUCAAAAAAAGUCUCGAAGAAUGCAUCCUUUUCAUCUCUGCCUCAUCAGCCUUUUCUGGAUGAAGGCUGUUUUGCAUUCCAGCAACUUUCGAGGUGUAAAAGCAAUAACAUUGACCAACGGACACAAGAUGAAUCGUCUCCAAAAGAUAAGAUACACAAAACAUUGAUUGCCUAAAGCCCUCCUAGGUACUAUCUUAUGCAGAUUAACCUCCCUCCAAAUUCGACCAAAGAAAAGUCUGAUAAAUGAAACUGUUUAAGGUUUACUCCAGAGAAUUGACCAAAGUAGUCUGAACGAAAACGUACAACAAGGUCAGUGAUACGUAGACAAAACCUUGAUACCUCAGACCAAAGUUGGUGAGCAUGCUCAUCUAAUCUUACAUCUUCUCCAUUCCAUCCGGAAACACCUACCACUAGAUGGCGCCAAAAAGAUACUAACUUCAAAAUAUAGGUGACCACUGUCCAUGGAAUUGCAAAAUGCGUCGUCUCGACAUAUGACUAAAUUUGGCUUCUUUCAACAAUAAGUGUUGAAGAAUGUGAUUGAACAAGUCAAUAUUUGGCAAAAUAUUGUAGCGUGAUACUUCAAUACUAUCAUUCUAUUUUGGACAAUUGUUGCCAAACUAAAGCUUCCUGAAUCUAAUAAAGUUCCAUGUCUUUCGAUGCUCUUUUAAAUUCCUGGGCCUUGCUGUUAUGCAGACCUAAACACCUGAAACAUGAAUAAAACAGAAAUACCUUGGUGUCAAUUUCAAGAAACGUUCUGAUAACUCGACACCUCUCUCUCAAAAUUGGAAUUUUCGACAUGACUAUUAAAGCAUUGAAAUUGAGGUUAUGGCCUCGUUCAUUUGACGUCUUAGUUCAAAUUAAGUGACAACAACAGUCUUCAGCCUUAUCUCCUCAAAUAAAACCACAUACCUGACAUUUUAGUCGAUAGGGAUGACAAAAAGGGCAUAAAAACAGGAACAAAAGGCAGAUUCAAAAAUAAUCAAUUGCAUAGCGAAAUAUUCCCCAAAAUUAACCAAACCAAGAGCCAAAAUUAAAGCUUACUACUAUAUCUGCUCCCUCACACAUGAAAGUUACACAUAAAUCAGAAAAUUCCCCCUCUUUAACUUUGAAAAAAGUUUAACUCAAUCGCCCAAUGGGCCAAAUGCAUCCAACACCUUUAAUAAGUUCUUUUCUAAAGUGGCUUUUUAUUUAGAAUUAAGCGUCAUAAACGCACUCAAUGCCUACUGAACAUGCGAUAGGUACAAAAAAGCAGGAGAAAAAUCGGCUGUGGAUCUUAAAAUGAUAUUUACCAGAAGUUGACAUCCCUACUAAUCCAUCUCGUUUGAGCAAGUGGUCAGCUGAGAGAAGAAGAAACUGGAAGGCCGAGCAAGUCUGGCCUUGUUGCCUUCAGUGAGAGCUCGACCAAACAGGAAGCAAGGGGCAAGGCAGUUUGUUGUGGGGGGCAGCAAUGCUCCUUGCAAGUUAGGCGAGACUUUGAGAGAAGUGCAUGCACACUUGGACCAUAGGAAGGAGAGCGGCACACAGCAGCGCGCUUUCUGGCUGGCUUGAAUCACAAAGACGUGGGAACACUGAACGCUCAAGGGAGGACAAGAAGAAGAAGAAGAAGAAGAAGAA